AACGAACGCUGGCGGCAGGCUUAACACAUGCAAGUCGAGCGCAUCCUUCGGGGUGAGCGGCAGACGGGUGAGUAACGCGUGGGAACGUACCCUUUCCUACGGAAUAGCUCCGGGAAACUGGAAUUAAUACCGUAUACGCCCUUAGGGGGAAAGAUUUAUCGGGGAAGGAUCGGCCCGCGUUGGAUUAGCUAGUUGGUGGGGUAAAGGCCUACCAAGGCGACGAUCCAUAGCUGGUCUGAGAGGAUGAUCAGCCACAUUGGGACUGAGACACGGCCCAAACUCCUACGGGAGGCAGCAGUGGGGAAUAUUGGACAAUGGGCGCAAGCCUGAUCCAGCCAUGCCGCGUGAGUGAUGAAGGUCUUAGGAUUGUAAAGCUCUUUCACCGAUGAAGAUAAUGACGGUAGUCGGAGAAGAAGCCCCGGCUAACUUCGUGCCAGCAGCCGCCGUAA
rnacentral:rRNA from 1 species